GACGAACGCUGGCGGCGUGCCUAACACAUGCAAGUGGAGCGACGAACCGGGCUUCGGCCCGGGGCCAAGCCGCGAACGGGUGAGUAACACGUGGGUAACCUGCCCUGAUGAUUGGGACAACCCGAGGAAACUCGGGCUAAGUACCGAAUGUGCCCUCCGACCAUAAGGUCUGCGGGGAAAGGAAGCUUCGGCCUCCGCAUCGGGAUGGGCCCGCGGCGCAUUAGCUUGUUGGUGAGGUAACGGCUCACCAAGGCGACGAUGCGUAG
rnacentral:rRNA from 1 species